UACGGGGGGGGCAAGGCGUUGUUCGGAAUUAUUGGGCGUAAAGGGCUCGUAGGCGGUUUGUCGCGUCGGGAGUGAAAUCCACUGGCUUAACUGGUGGCUUGCUUUCGAUACGGGCAGACUGGAGGUAUGCAGGGGAGAACGGAAUUCCUGGUGUAGCGGUGAAAUGCGCAGAUAUCAGGAGGAACACCGGUGGCGAAGGCGGUCUCUGGGCAUGUCCUGACGCUGAGGAGCGAAAGUGUGGGGAGCGAACAGG
rnacentral:rRNA from 1 species